rnacentral:rRNA from 1 species
GCGCGAAAACUUUGCAAUGCGGGAAACCGUGACAGGGGAACUCCGAGUGCCCGUUAAAUCGGGCUGUCCAUCGGUUUAAAUAACCGGUGAAGAAAGGGCCGGGCAAGACCGGUGCCAGCCGCCGCGGUAAUACCGGCGGCUCGAGUGGUGGCCACUAUUACUGGGCUUAAAGCGUUCGUAGCUGGUUUGUUAAGUCUCUGGGGAAAUCUUCCGGCUUAACCGGAAGGCGUCUCAGGGAUACUGGCAGACUAGGGACCGGGAGAGGUGAGGGGUACUCCAGGGGUAGGA